rnacentral:rRNA from 1 species
GCCUGAUCAGCCAUGCCGCGUGAGUGAUGAAGGCCUUCGGGUUGUAAAGCUCUUUUUUCCGGGAAGAAAACGUCCGGACCCGUAGGGGAUGGCCCGGACUGUUCCCUGACAGCACGCCCCGGUCUAAUCCAUGCCCCCCGCCGCUAUAAUA